GACAGAGGAUGCAGGCGUUAUCCGGAAUGAUUGGGCGUAAAGCGUCUGUAGGUGGCUUUUCAAGUCCGCCGUCAAAUCCCAGGGCUCAACCCUGGACAGGCGGUGGAAACUACCAAGCUGGAGUACGGUAGGGGCAGAGGGAAUUUCCGGUGGAGCGGUGAAAUGCGUAGAUAUCGGAAGGAACACCGGUGGCGAAAGCGGCGCGCUGGAUCCCUUCUGACGCUGAGGCGCGAAAGCCAGGGGAGCGAACGGG
rnacentral:rRNA from 1 species